GCUCAGGAUGAACGCUGGCGGCGUGCUUAACACAUGCAAGUCGAACGGUGAAGCCAAGCUUGCUUGGUGGAUCAGUGGCGAACGGGUGAGUAACACGUGAGCAACCUGCCCUGAACUCUGGGAUAAGCGCUGGAAACGGCGUCUAAUACUGGAUAUGAGCUGCGGAGGCAUCUUCGUGGUUGGAAAGAUUUUUCGGUUUGGGAUGGGCUCGCGGCCUAUCAGCUUGUUGGUGAGGUAAUGGCUCACCAAGGCGUCGACGGGUAGCCGGCCUGAGAGGGUGACCGGCCACACUGGGACUGAGACACGGCCCAGACUCCUACGGGAGGCAGCAGUGGGGAAUAUUGCACAAUGGGCGGAAGCCUGAUGCAGCAACGCCGCGUGAGGGAUGACGGCCUUCGGGUUGUAAACCUCUUUUAGCAGGGAAGAAGCGAAAGUGACGGUACCUGCAGAAAAAGCGCCGGCUAACUACGUGCCAGCAGCCGCGGUAAUACGUAGGGCGCAAGCGUUAUCCGGAAUUAUUGGGCGUAAAGAGCUCGUAGGCGGUUUGUCGCGUCUGCUGUGAAAACCCGAGGCUCAACCUCGGGCCUGCAGUGGGUACGGGCAGACUAGAGUGCGGUAGGGGAGAUUGGAAUUCCUGGUGUAGCGGUGGAAUGCGCAGAUAUCAGGAGGAACACCGAUGGCGAAGGCAGAUCUCUGGGCCGUAACUGACGCUGAGGAGCGAAAGGGUGGGGAGCAAACAGGCUUAGAUACCCUGGUAGUCCACCCCGUAAACGUUGGGAACUAGUUGUGGGGUCCAUUCCACGGAUUCCGUGACGCAGCUAACGCAUUAAGUUCCCCGCCUGGGGAGUACGGCCGCAAGGCUAAAACUCAAAGGAAUUGACGGGGACCCGCACAAGCGGCGGAGCAUGCGGAUUAAUUCGAUGCAACGCGAAGAACCUUACCAAGGCUUGACAUACACGAGAACGCUGCAGAAAUGUAGAACUCUUUGGACACUCGUGAACAGGUGGUGCAUGGUUGUCGUCAGCUCGUGUCGUGAGAUGUUGGGUUAAGUCCCGCAACGAGCGCAACCCUCGUUCUAUGUUGCCAGCACGUAAUGGUGGGAACUCAUGGGAUACUGCCGGGGUCAACUCGGAGGAAGGUGGGGAUGACGUCAAAUCAUCAUGCCCCUUAUGUCUUGGGCUUCACGCAUGCUACAAUGGCCGGUACAAAGGGCUGCAAUACCGCGAGGUGGAGCGAAUCCCAAAAAGCCGGUCCCAGUUCGGAUUGAGGUCUGCAACUCGACCUCAUGAAGUUGGAGUCGCUAGUAAUCGCAGAUCAGCAACGCUGCGGUGAAUACGUUCCCGGGUCUUGUACACACCGCCCGUCAAGUCAUGAAAGUCGGUAACACCUGAAGCCGGUGGCCCAACCCU
rnacentral:rRNA from 1 species